rnacentral:rRNA from 1 species
GAGACAGCAGUAGCCACGGUAAUACGGAGGGCGCGAGCGUUACCCGGAUUUACUGGGCGUAAAGGGCGUGUAGGCGGCCUGGGGCGUCCCAUGUGAAAGGCCACGGCUCAACCGUGGAGGAGCGUGGGAUACGCUCAGGCUAGAGGGUGGGAGAGGGUGGUGGAAUUCCCGGAGUAGCGGUGAAAUGCGCAGAUACCGGGAGGAACGCCGAUGGCGAAGGCAGCCACCUGGUCCACUUCUGACGCUGAGGCGCGAAAGCGUGGGGAGCAAACCGGAUUAGAUACCCGUCGUAGUCCCUGUCUCUUAUA